UACACUCCUGCGGGAGGCAGCAGUGGGGAAUAUUGGACAAUGGGCGCAAGCCUGAUCCAGCCAUGCCGCGUGAGUGAUGAAGGCCCUAGGGUUGUAAAGCUCUUUCGCCGGUGAAGAUAAUGACGGUAACCGGAGAAGAAGCCCCGGCUAACUUCGUGCCAGCAGCCGCGGUAAUACGAAGGGGGCUAGCGUUGUUCGGAUUUACUGGGCGUAAAGCGCACGUAGGCGGACUAUUAAGUCAGGGGUGAAAUCCCGGGGCUCAACCCCGGAACUGCCUUUGAUACUGGUAGUCUUGAGUUCGAGAGAGGUGAGUGGAAUUCCGAGUGUAGAGGUGAAAUUCGUAGAUAUUCGGAGGAACACCAGUGGCGAAGGCGGCUCACUGGCUCGAUACUGACGCUGAGGUGCGAAAGCGUGGGGAGCAAACAGGAUUAGAUACCCCGGUAGUCCCAUG
rnacentral:rRNA from 1 species